UUUUUCUUUUCCCACCAGCAUGUUGAAUCAUCCAUUUGUCUGGUAACUUGAGACAGCCGGUAGAGGAGUCACAAGAGUAGGUACCUUUCCAUGAGCUCACCUCUGUUCCACUCCCAUCUCAUAAAGGGUGUGACAGAUACUUCACAGAAGGCAAGGAGAAAACAGGUCAGAAGUAUGUUAUUGGGGGCUUAGCACUGAUUUUGGUUCUGACAAGCUGGCCACUCAGAGACAGCAGUAGCUAUGUCUGUCUCAGUAUGUGGUAGACCAUGCUGUUGGGCCCAUAUAUAUAUAGCCUCCAUGCCUGCCACUGGGGCUACUUCAUUCACGUACCCACUGUGUCAGUUCUGGGAUGACUAAAAUCAACUGGGUCAUCAUGAGUGAAGUCUUGAGCCACUGAGCCACUACCACCUUGUGCCAAAUACUAUCUGUGCCCUGCCUGCCAACCAGGAUGACAACCCUUCACCUGCCAGGUGGAGAGAGACAGCAGCAGGCUAACUAGUUGUCUGUUAAGAACAUCCAGAGCAGGACCAGAAUCUGGGCCAGGAACUGAGAGACAGAUUGGGACAACGGAACAAAUCUACCAGGGUAUGCUGGCCAACUUAGUCUUCUAUUAUGAUCAAGGAAGGAUGGCGCCUGAGAGGUCAUUACUAUGUGACUGGUCUUCAUAUAUUGCUUCUAUGUUUGAUUCUUCCUCCAGAAAUGUUUCAAUAGCAAACUCAAUGAGUUUACGUAGCCAGAAUCUUAGUCAAUAACCUACUCUGCAGUAUCUUAGGGCUGACUUUGUACAUAUGGAAGUCAGCCAGAUCUCAUGAGUGGAUCAUUAAGCUAGAAUUAUUUUCUUGGCACACGUUACAGUAAGGUAAUAUAUGACCUAGGCCUAAGGCAGGCCAUCAACCUGUCAAGAGUAAUGACCCCCAGGGGUAAGGCCUUGCUGUCUCCACCUCAAGGAUGGGUCUUCAAAGUGGAGACAAUAUAGUCCCUAUGGUUUCUACAUGCUUAAUGAGUCUGUUAUGUGAAUUAUAAAGAUAAUAUCUAUGGGGACUUUGAGCUCCUACAAUAAAAAUGUAUAAAUAUAAUCCAAGAAAUUCUGGUAGACAAACAUUGUAAUAAUGCAUAUCAGUCUUUGUAUCUCCAUUUAGUUUUUUUAAAACUUGGCUUGUGUCCAGAAGUAUGCACAGAUAUACAUAGCAAAUGCUCAGUGCUGAAUGUUUAGCUAAAUCCUGUGCUUCAAAGCAAGGAUGAAUAGAUUUUCAUCAGAGCUCAGGACCUGAACUGUAGGCUUCCCUCACAAUGAGAAGUAAAGCUAAGUAUAGGUGAAUCCUGAGUGGCACAUAUUCUAUGAGAGUUUUAUACAUAAUUUGAAUGAUUGAUAUGCUGCAUCUUUCAUUGAAAUGAUUGUCAACCAAUAUUAUUUCAAGUGUUAUUUCCAUGCUAUUUCUAGUUCUGUAUGUUUUACGUAAUUAUAAAUGGCUUCAUAUUUUCAUGUAACAUUGUAUGAUAUGAUUUGGGUUCUAACAGGUUAUCCUUGACACCAGUAUAGAAUACCCAGAAUUAAUUUAAGGUAUAUUAUCAAACCACUAAAAUUAGGAUGUCCAUGAAUUCUGAAGGAGAAAAUAUCAUUUAGAUUGUGUGUGUGUGUGUGUGUGUGUGCGCGUGUGUGUGUGUCCUCUAAGUUUUAAACAUGAGGUGGUUAUAUAAAGGGGACUUCUAAAUUGGGAGAGGAUGAAAAUGGGCUAAAUAUUUCAAACAAACUUCAGUGUGAAAUCAGUAGUAUAUUCAGUAGAGGUGACAGGGAAAAAAGCUGUGGAGGAGAAAAGAGAACAAGAAAAUCAGGAAGCAGUAAAAAUGAUGACUGAGGUCAGGUGGUAAUGGUAACAUCAAGAAACUUGAAUCUGAUGGAAAAAAACCACGGGUAGCUAUAAAAGGGGCAUUCGAAAUAGGAAAUGAUGUGAGAGGAGAAGAUAAUUUUAGUAUAGUUAAAGGAGGUAGCAGCUAUAGGUGUGAAGAGAACGGAUUAAUUUUAAAUGUGUCCCAGAAGUAAGAGAAAUAUUUUUUUGAGGAGUGGGGGAGGAACAAUGAGAUAAACCUGGUUGAGUGUUUUAUGGUUAUCUCAAGUAAGAGUCCACUUGGAGUAUUAUGUCCAUUUUUGGACACCAUACUUUCAUAGGCAUGUUGAUGAACCAGGUCAUUCAAGACACCAGGGUAGUGAGAAGUGUGUUAAUAGUGCUUCUACCAGAGAGUUAGAGUGACAUGGCAGCUGUCCUCAUAUCUAUCGAUCUGUCAUAAGGAAGAAAGAUCACAUGCCUCUGCAUUGUUUAAAAGAAAGAAACAGACCCAAAGAAAGUCAGGAGGCAGAUUUUGCUCAAUAUAAUGAUCUAACAAUUAGAUGUGCCCUGUAACAGAGUGCGCUAUUGUAAAGUAAUGUUCUCCCAUCUUUCCAAGUAUUCAAGCAGAGAAUAGUCAAUAAUACAACUAACGACUGGAAGGGUUUCUUUUAUUCUAAGGUACUAUCAGAUGGAGGAACAUGUAGUUUGUGGUCAGUGACCUCAGGUUCUCACAUUCACGGUGCUGCAUCCUGGUUUUCAUUUGGGGACUGUUUUCUGGCACUCCCGCCUGUCUGGAGGUGAGAUAUGCUUGUUAUGACAACCCUUCUGUCACAAUAAAUUGGCUGGUGCAUUCAGUGUCAUCUAUGGCUUUUUACUUCUAUUAAUUCAUUAAUUCCGGGCCCCCAAGCGAAAGUUUCCAAAGGCCUUUUUUCUUCUUUGUUAAUUAUAACAUGAUAUCAAUCAGCACCCAAGCAGAAACUAGAAGAGUAUUCAAACUAGGUAAUUUGAGGAGAGUUUAAUAAAGCAACAGCUUACAAAGAUGUGGACAGUGGCUUAAGGAAGCCACUAAAGGAUGGCACAGUCCUCCAGGCUUGUGAUCAGGGGAGUCAUUACCAUCCCCCAGCCUGAAGAUCAAGAGGCUGGAGCUAUUUCCAGACCCUGAAGAGGGUGGUUGUAUGGAGAGGACUAUCUGAAAGAAGAGGCUGUAGCCAACACAAGAAAGCCAGGGAAUAAAUAAUCCAUCCUCACUCUCCUGCUGUUGCCUCUCAAUGGCCAAACCCAACCAUGAGCUGGGCAUGAAGGGAGCUAGCUGACAGCUAUAUGGCUCAGCUUCCUGGGGCCCAGAGCAGAGUGGAGCUGAGAAGAGAGUGAAUCUGGAGGGGUUAAUGGAAGAAACCACAGAAAGCAAAUUCCUCCCUGAGAUACAGUUGGUGCUUAGGCAAUAUUUGUACUGACAGGAAUGUGGCCACAUAUUUUGGAAAAGCUCAGGGACUCAAUCCUCUGCUAGCUGCUUUGAGGCCAUGUCUGCCGAAGUCACUGUCCUCUACAGGGUUUUUUCCUCAUGUUCAGUGUUUAGUCCUUUCCACCUUCACGAAAACGAUGCCUACUUAAUAUACAGAAAGGAGGACAUACAGAAAUUUUUCAUCUUAAUUGGAUAUUACAGUUGCCCCACUUUGGAGCCAAGAAGAGCUGAAUAAAGCUGAGAAACACCUAAACAGAAAGGCAAGUUUACCAUGAAGUAAGAAACGUAAGCUUUGGACCCCUUAAUUGCUUGAGCCUCCGAUGCUCAAUAAAGGAAUGUAGAAGAAUGUUGGGAGAGAAGCAUUCUCACCUAUUUCUGAUCUUAACAGGCAGCAUUGCCAGCCAUCACUCCAUGGAUCCUCUCAUCUGGAAGUGCUCCACUUCAGAAAUCUUAGAUUCCAAGAUCCACUCUCAGAAAACAACCUCCAGACAUUUCUGCCGUCCACACAGUUGCUUCUUCUCCCUCUGGCGCACGGCCACCUGUGCUAUCUGCAGCCUCACCGGCAUUCCCUGGCCUCGCCCUCUGCACUUCAUCCUGACAGGCAUGGAGUCUCCUCCUGUCACCCCAGAGCUAUGUGGUGUCUUGAUUAGGUGACUUUGCCCAUGUUGUCAUUCAACUUAAUAUUUAUUGAUCUAUCUCUGUGAGAAUCACUUGGCUGGCCCUUUCGUCUGGAGUGUCAGCCUCCUCUCACCUGCCCCCAGGAGGCUUCCUCCUUCUUCUUUUAACUGCUUGCACAUCUUUAAGACUCAGCCUUGGAGACACGUCUUUUAAAAAGCCUUGAAUGGGCCUGGGAAGUGGCUCACACCUGUAAUCCCAGCACCUUCAGAGGCCAAAGUGGGAGGAUCACUUGAGGCCAGGAGUUCAAGACUAGCCUGGACAACAUGGUGAAAGCCCGUCUCUACUAAAAACACAAAAAUUAACCGGGUAUGAUGGCACACACCUGUAAUCCCAGCUACUCAGGAGCCUGAGGCAUGAGAAUCACUUGAACCUGGGGAGGCUGCAGUGAGCCAAGAUUGAACACCACUGCUCUCCAGCCUGGGCAACAGAGCAAGACUCUGUCUCAAGAAAAAAAAAAAAAAAGAUACCUUCUCUGACCACUCCCUCUAUUCUUCCCUUUCCCAUAACACUAAGUCAUAUGCGCCCAAAACAAUUUGUGCACAUCUCCAUCAGUGAGUGGUUUUCCAUGAUGGUCAUCCUCCCCGACUAGGCUGGUGUAUUCUAGUGUGCUCACCUUUGGGGGUCUCUACUACUGAUUAUUUGCAAGACCUAAGGCAACUUAUUUCACUUUGUAAGCUUCUGUUUCCUCAACUACAAAACCAGGUUAUUAAUAGAAAUUGUAUGUAAGGAACCUAGCACAAUGCUUGAUAUACAGUAAGUGCAAAGUAUGUUAAAUGUUUAAUAAAUUAAUGUCAUAGGAACACCAUUAGAAAACUCCUUAAAAGAAAAAUAUUUAUUUUUUAAGCACUUGUAGGGACAAGGAGCUUGUCCCCUUGUUUGAUAAUUCUAUUUAUAGUGUAACUGAAGCCAUCGUAGUUUGACUCACACUAGUUUUAUUGACAAAAAUGAGUGCCCUCUGCCCCUACUCCCAGUGUCCCCUGUUCUGCUAAAGAAUCUUGAGACUCUCUCAAGGUGCUCUGUCAUGUGUAUUCAGAAACUGGUCCCUCUGGGGCAAAGCUGUUCUCAGCUGGUGCCUGUGGCUGCCACCACUGCUGUGGCCUGAGGACAGAAGUCAUAACCCUCCUCUGCUUUGCCUCAGGGGUUGGUUGUGGACCUUUCCCCU
rnacentral:lncRNA from 10 species